rnacentral:rRNA from 1 species
GACGAACGCUGGCGGCGUGCCUAAUACAUGCAAGUAGAACGCUGAAGAGAGGAGCUUGCUCUUCUUGGAUGAGUUGCGAACGGGUGAGUAACGCGUAGGUAACCUGCCUGGUAGCGGGGGAUAACUAUUGGAAACGAUAGCUAAUACCGCAUAAAAUUGAUUAUUGCAUGAUAAUUAAUUGAAAGAUGCAACUGCAUCACUACCAGAUGGACCUGCGUUGUAUUAGCUAGUUGGUGAGGUAACGGCUCACCAAGGCGACGAUACAUAGCCGACCUGAGAGGGUGAUCGGCCACACUGGGACUGAGACACGGCCCAGACUCCUACGGGAGGCAGCAGUAGGGAAUCUUCGGCAAUGGGGGGAACCCUGACCGAGCAACGCCGCGUGAGUGAAGAAGGUUUUCGGAUCGUAAAGCUCUGUUGUAAGAGAAGAACGGGUGUGAGAGUGGAAAGUUCACAUUGUGACGGUAUCUUACCAGAAAGGGACGGCUAACUACGUG